AGAGUUUGAUCCUGGCUCAGGACAAACGCUGGCGGCGUGCCUAACACAUGCAAGUCAAGGAGAACGUCCCCUUCGGGGGACUAUUAAACUGGCGGACGGGUGAGUAACGCGUAGGUAACCUGCCCCAGAGACCGGGACAACCCAUCGAAAGACGGGCUAAUACCGGAUGAUGCAGCGGAUCCUCAGGGAUAUGUUGUUAAAGGGGGCCUUCGGGUCCUGCUUUGGGAUGGGCCUGCGUCCGAUUAGUUAGUUGGUAAGAUAAAAGCUUACCAAGGCGAUGAUCGGUAGCUGGUCUGAGAGGAUGAUCAGCCACACUGGGAUUGAGAUACGGCCCAGACUCCUACGGGAGGCAGCAGUGGGGAAUCUUGCGCAAUGGGCGAAAGCCUGACGCAGCAACGCCGCGUGACUGAUGAAGCUUCUAGGAGUGUAAAGGUCUGUCGUGAGGGAAGAACAGUAUCCAUGUAAAUAGCAUGGGCAUUUGACGGUACCUCACAAGAAAGCACCGGCUAACUUCGUGCCAGCAGCCGCGGUAAUACGAGGGGUGCUAGCGUUGUCCGGAAUCACUGGGCGUAAAGGGCGCGUAGGCGUCUUAGCAAGCCUUGAUUGAAAUCCCCCGGCUCAACCGGGGAACUGGUCAGGGAACUGCUAGGAUAGAGUUUGGUAGGGGAGAGCGGAAUUCCUGGUGUAGCGGUGAUAUGCGUAGAUAUGAGGAGGAACACCUAAAGCGAAGGCAGCUCUCUGGGCCAAUACUGACGCUGAGGCGCGAAAGCGUGGGGAGCAAACAGGAUUAGAUACCCUGGUAGUCCACGCCGUAAACGAUGAGCACUUGGUGUCGGGGGAUUCGACCCCCUCGGUGCCGUAGCUAACGUGUUAAGUGCUCCGCCUGGGGACUACGACCGCAAGGUUGAAACUCAAAGGAAUUGACGGGGGCCCGCACAAGCGGUGGAACAUGUGGUUUAAUUCGAUGCAACGCGAAGAACCUUACCUGGGCUUGACAUGUCAGUGAAAGCUCCGUGAAAGCGGAGCCCUCUGCGAGCUUGCUCAAAGACACUGUCACAGGUGGUGCAUGGCUGUCGUCAGCUCGUGUCGUGAGAUGUUGGGUUAAGUCCCGCAACGAGCGCAACCCUUGUCCUUAGUUGCCAGCACGUUAUGGUGGGGACUCUAAGGAGACUGCCUGGGAUAACCAGGAGGAAGGUGGGGAUGACGUCAAGUCCGUAUGUC
rnacentral:rRNA from 1 species